rnacentral:rRNA from 1 species
CCCUUAGAUGUUCUGGGCUGCACGCGCGCUACACUGAAGCGUUCAACGAGUAUUCACCUUGCCCGGGAGGGUUGGGCAAUCUUUGAACGCUGGUCGUGAUGGGGAUAGACUUUUGCAAUUUUUGGUCUUCAACGAGGAAUUCCUAGUAAACGCAAGUCAUCAACUUGCAUUGAUUACGUCCCUGCCCUUUGUACACACCGCCCGUCGCACCUACCGAUUGAAUGGUCCGGUGAAGCCUCCGGAUUGGCGCGCACCUCGGUGCCGCCGAGAAGUUGGCUAAACCUUACCAUUUAGAGGAAGGUGAAGUCGUAACA